GGAGGGUAAAACGAACAAGGUUUGGUUUCCCCAUUAAAAAUUUUAGUAGCCGUGAAUUUUCUCACUCCUAAAUUCUGCUCUAAAUUUGUUUUUCUCGCCCAAAUUUUGCGAUCAGACAAAUACUUGUUUGCUGGUUGAUAGAUGACAAGCUUGUUUCCCUACAAGAGAGAAACCAUUUCAUGGGAAGUCAUAAAGGCAACAUCAGGGUCAUUAACAAUUGGUGAAAGGGUUCCAUCGUAAUCUAAGAACACAACAAUCUUUUUGUUCUCAGCUCCAUGCAUCAUCUUCUGGAAUUUGUCCAAAGCAGAAGGGUGCUUCUCCUGUAUGCCAUACAAACUAUAAGUCUAUAAUUUUGAAAGAAAAGGGUGAGCUUAAGAAGAAGCAAGAUUUACAUUCAGCGUUUCUCCAAAUAUAGAUGCAGAGCGCCCUGGUGUGGCAGAUAAAUGAUGGGCAAAAAUCAGCUAGAAGAAAGAAUUUUAGAGCAGUGAGUCAAGUUUGGUCAUACUCGGUUAUAACCUAAGAAUAGCCAAAGUGUCACGAUCUGGGAGUUUGGAUCCCGAAAUAUGCGGCGCGUUCUAGCCUUUUGACAGCAAGAACGCUAGCCUUGAGCGGAAGAGGGGCUUGUGAGCACAAAGCAACACAAGCGGGUAAUUAAAUCAAAGGAGCACUCACGUCUAUUUGGGCGACGGAGUGCGGGUGGUCGGGGCUUGUGACGGCCGAUACUUAAAGGUGGGCUCAAGCGGGUCCGAACCACGAGUUCUUAGUGCAUCAAGUUGGUUUGAAGGGGAGCUAUUAUGCAAGUAAGACACAAUAUCUAUAAAGGUCUAACAACAAACAAGCAUAAAACCAAGGCAACACUUGGUUGAAGACUUAAGAUUUCAUUAAUCAUUCACCCUCUAAAGAGCUUUAAUUUGAUUAGAAGGAAAAUCCCUAGAGAACACUGAACUGAGAGUAACACAAUAAUGGGACCUCAAGCUAAGAAAACAUAAACUAAACUCUAAGAAAGCAUCUAAAGGGAAUCUAAUACAUAAAAAGGAGUUGGAUUCUAACACAAAGGCAUAUUGGGCCGAGGGAGGGGAGACCGGGCCGCGGUCGACGGUGGGGGCUGGGUUGGCAGUUCGUUGGGGAAAGGGAAGGUGGCCGGGAAAAGGGACAGGGUGGCUGGUGGUGGAGUUGUUUUUUUUUUAAAAAAAAAGUUUUUAAUUAUUUUAAUUAAAGUUUUAAUUAUUUUAAUUAACAUCUCGGUAAUUUUUAUUUCCGGGUCUAAAUAAGUGAAAAAUUGGCCAAAAUCGAAGACUAUAUAAUACACGAUUUUAGGUUAGUUUUUGACAUUUUUAUAAAAAAUGAACUGAAUGUGUUGGAUGAGUCCUGGGGCAUCUAAGGAGGUUUGAAACCAUAAGACACCGAUAAACAUU